AGAAUCAACGCUGGCGGCGUGCCUAACACAUGCAAGUCGAACGAGAAAGUGGAGCAAUCCAUGAGUAAAGUGGCGACCGGGUGAGUAACACGUGACCAAUCUACCCUUGAGUGGGGGAUAACCUCGGGAAACCGGGGCUAAUACCGCAUAACAUCCUCGGGACGGAAGUACUGGGGAUCAAAGGAGCAAUUCGCUUAAGGAGGAGGUCGCGGCUGAUUAGCUAGUUGGCGGGGUAAUGGCCCACCAAGGCAAAGAUCGGUAGCCGGCCUGAGAGGGCGCACGGCCACACUGGAACUGAAACACGGUCCAGACUCCUACGGGAGGCAGCAGUGGGGAAUAUUGGACAAUGGGCGAAAGCCUGAUCCAGCAACGCCGCGUGAGGGAUGACGGCCUUCGGUUGUAAACCUCUUUCAGCGCAGACGAAGCGAAAGUGACGGUAUGCGUAGAAGAAGCACCGGCAACUACGCGCCAGCAGCCGCGGUAA
rnacentral:rRNA from 1 species